UACGAGGGGGGCAAGCGUUGUUCGGAAUUAUUGGGCGUAAAGGGUGCGUAGGCGGUUUGGUAAGUCUUAUGUGAAAUCUACAGGCUCAACUUGUAGUCUGCAUGAGAAACUGCCGGGCUUGAGUAUGGGAGAGGUGAGUGGAAUUCCUGGUGUAGCGGUGAAAUGCGUAGAUAUCAGGAGGAACACCUGCGGCGAAAGCGGCUCACUGGACCAUAACUGACGCUGAUGCACGAAAGCUAGGGGAGCAAACAGG
rnacentral:rRNA from 1 species